AGAAGCUAGGCGAUUAUAUAGUAAGCCUAUUGAAUUUACACUAGUUAUAACUAUAUUUUUCUUCUAUUUCACAAAACGUGAAAUUAUGUCAACCAGAUGUGUUUGUGUUGUAAACUUGAGAAUGCCUAGCGCUACUGGACAUUCACCUCAGGCUAGGAAAAUGUGGCCAUCUAGAGCACGUGGGAGCUAUUAUUGGUUGCAAAUACUGGUAUGCCAGGUUUAUUUACUUAGCAUUAUACAUGCAUGAUUUAUUUGUAUUUGUUUGUAUAGGUGCACAUGUGGAAAUUGUGCCACAAUGCAGUCAGAGCCUGAGAACGUAUGCUGUCAGGAGGUGCCUCAGGUUACAAGACGGCAGGAACAGCUGGAUGAAAGGCCUCCCUGUAUGAUAGACCAUCCAGGUGUAGAACCGGUUUGUCUAAAUGUGUUCUCGCUGCAGAACGCAUUCAACAUUUACAGAGCUGACGACGGUCCUUUGCGACUACGGGGGAUAGAGCAUCGUUACAGGUAUUUAGCCUAUAGAAAUUUUGUGAGCUGGUGCUGGUGCUGGUGCUGUUAUCCCGUCAUGCGUUGUUCUUCGUAUACACCCGGAGUUUCCUGACGCCCAUGGAAGAUACGGAGGCUUCAAACCACCCUCCCUUGAUUGAAUUUGGAGACGUAGCUGGCGAUGACCUCCUCCUUGUCUGGAUGCUCAUAUUCUGAAGACAGUUCCGGCGUGAUGUUUAUCUUCAGAAUCUCUGCUCUGUACGAUGCUGGGUCAACAAAGACCUUCUCCAUGAUCAUGUCCAUCAAAUCAUUCACAUACUCUGUGCAAUACACACAAAAGGGAAUCACUAGUUACUAAAUUAUUCAACAACUGUUCAUGCAUUGACAUUUUGCACUUUGAAUAAUUGGUAUAUUUUCAGGUAUUUAUGUGCAUUUAUUUGUUUAUUUUAUUGUGUUGGAGUUUGUCUCAUGUGCUUUGUCUCAUGUUCAAUAUAAAUGUUUAUUUUCUGAGUAAAAU